rnacentral:rRNA from 1 species
GAUGAACGCUAGCGGCAGGCUUAAUACAUGCAAGUCGAGGGGCAGCAUGACUGUAGCAAUACAGUUGAUGGCGACCGGCAAACGGGUGCGGAACACGUACAGAACCUUCCUUCGAGCGGGGAAUAGCCCAGAGAAAUUUGGAUUAAUACCCCAUAGUAUUACGGAGUGGCAUCACUUUGUAAUUAAAGAUUUAUCACUUGAAGAUGGCUGUGCGGCUGAUUAGGUAGUUGGCGGGGUAACGGCCCACCAAGCCUGCGAUCAGUAACUGGUGUGAGAGCACGACCAGUCGCACGGGCACUGAGACACGGGCCCGACUCCUACGGGAGGCAGCAGUAAGGAAUAUUGGUCAAUGGACGAAAGUCUGAACCAGCCAUGCCGCGUGAAGGAUGAAGGUCCUCUGGAUUGUAAACUUCUUUUAUAUGGGACGAAAAAAGGCUUUUCUAAGUCGUCUGACGGUACCAUAUGAAUAAGCACCGGCUAACUCCGUGCCAGCCGCCGCGGUAA